rnacentral:rRNA from 1 species
UACGAGAGGUGCAAGCGUUGUUCGGAGUAAUUGGGCGUAAAGCGCACGUAGGCGGGUCAGUAUGUCAGAUGUGAAAGCCCUGGGCUCAACCUAGGAAUGGCAUCUGAAACUGCUGAUCUUGAAUAUCUCAGAGGUUGGUGGAAUUCCUGGUGUAGGAGUGAAAUUCGUAGAUAUGGGGAGGAACACCGGUGGCGAAGGCGGCCGGCCUGGGCCGACCCUGACGCUGAGGCGCGAAGGCGUGGGGAGCGAACGGG